rnacentral:rRNA from 1 species
CCUACGGGUGGCUGCAGUGGGGAAUAUUGGACAAUGGGGGCAACCCUGAUCCAGCCAUGCCGCGUGUGUGAAGAAGGCCCUCGGGUUGUAAAGCACUUUCAGUGAGGAAGAACGCCUGGUGGUUAAUACCCAUCAGGAAAGACAUCACUCACAGAAGAAGCACCGGCUAACUCCGUGCCAGCAGCCGCGGUAAUACGGAGGGUGCGAGCGUUAAUCGGAAUUACUGGGCGUAAAGCGCGCGUAGGUGGCUUGAUAAGCCGGUUGUGAAAGCCCCGGGCUCAACCUGGGAACGGCAUCCGGAACUGUCAAGCUAGAGUGCAGGAGAGGAAGGUAGAAUUCCCGGUGUAGCGGUGAAAUGCGUAGAGAUCGGGAGGAAUACCAGUGGCGAAGGCGGCCUUCUGGACUGACACUGACGCUGAGGUGCGAAAGCGUGGGUAGCAAACAGGAUUAGAUACCCGAGUAGUC